rnacentral:rRNA from 1 species
UCUAAUACCGGAUAUUACMUMBGACCGCAUGGKCUGGUGGUGGAAAGCUCCGGCGGUGAAGGAUGAGCCCGCGGCCUAUCAGCUUGUUGGUGGGGUGAUGGCCUACCAAGGCGACGACGGGUAGCCGGCCUGAGAGGGCGACCGGCCACACUGGGACUGAGACACGGCCCAGACUCCUACGGGAGGCAGCAGUGGGGAAUAUUGCACAAUGGGCGAAAGCCUGAUGCAGCGACGCCGCGUGAGGGAUGACGGCCUUCGGGUUGUAAACCUCUUUCAGCAGGGAAGAAGCGAGAGUGACGGUACCUGC